rnacentral:rRNA from 1 species
AUUGAACGCUGGCGGCAGGCCUAAUACAUGCAAGUAGAACGCAGUUGCGAACGGGUGAGUAACGCGUAGGUAACCUGCCUCAUAGCGGGGGAUAACUAUUGGUAACGCUAGCUAAUACCGCAUACUGUGAGAUGGACCUGCGUGUUAUUAGCUAGUUGGUGAGGUAAAGGCUCACCAAGGCGACGAUACAUAGCCGACCUGAGAGGGGGAUCGGCCACAACGGGACUUGGAAACGGCCCAGACUCCUACUGGAGGCAGAAGUAGGGAAACGUCGGCAAUGGACGGAAGUCUGAACGAGCAACGCCGGGGGAGGGAAGAAGGGUUUCGGAUCGUAAAGCUCGGUUGGGAGGGGAGCGGUAACUAACCAGAAAGGGACGGCUAACUACGUGCCAGCAGCCGCGGUAAUAC